CCGGAUGGCGACCGGCGCACGGGUGAGUAACACGUAUCCAACCUGCCGAUGACUCGGGGAUAGCCUUUCGAAAGAAAGAUUAAUACCCGAUGGCAUAGUUCUUCCGCAUGGUGGAACUAUUAAAGAAUUUCGGUCAUCGAUGGGGAUGCGUUCCAUUAGGUUGUUGGCGGGGUAACGGCCCACCUAGUCUUCGAUGGAUAGGGGUUCUGAGAGGAAGGUCCCCCACAUUGGAACUGAGACACGGUCCAA
rnacentral:rRNA from 1 species